CGACCCCUGCCGUGUUUGUGAUUGGAAGAUGUUCUUUGUCCCAACACACUUUCAUCGGGAGCUGGCCUGUGGUAUCGGUGAGCACGUUCUGCUUCGGCAGAAAAGCCUGAAGAUGCCCGGCGGUGCCCACUUUGAACCAAUGGUUCAAAGACCUGCCAACACGGCACCCUGGCAGGGGUCCA
rnacentral:other from 1 species